rnacentral:rRNA from 1 species
UACGGAGGUGGCAAGCGUUGUUCGGAAUUACUGGGCGUAAAGGGCGCGUAGGCGGCAUGGCAAGUCAGAUGUGAAAGCCCCGGGCUUAACCUGGGAAUUGCAUCUGAAACUGUUGUGCUUGAGUUCUGGAGGGGGUAGUGGAAUUCCCAGUGUAGCGGUGAAAUGCGUAGAUAUUGGGAGGAACACCUGCGGCGAAGGCGGCUACCUGGACAGAUACUGACGCUGAGGCGCGAAAGCUAGGGGAGCAAACGGG